rnacentral:lncRNA from 1 species
CAAACAAACGUGUCUAUGAUCAGGGGUCAACGAAUGCAGUCAGUUUGCAAGACUUUCUGGAGGAGAAAGAACACCAUUUCUAUAGUGCAUUGUGAGUUUUAGAUCACCCAGAAAGAAGGACUAGUGGGGCUUUGCCGAAGGUAGAUACAGAUGUCUGAAAUGGAGGGCUCUAAUUCAGAUUUGCCUCUUUGGUGCAAAGGCUGAGGAGUUAGACACCGCAAUGUGUGGAGUGCAAGAAAAUGCUUUUAUUCCCUUGAACUGCUACCAAGCAAAGCAAUACAAUGUCAGCAUAGUCUUCAUCAUGGAGUGUUCCCAGGAG